rnacentral:tRNA from 1 species
AAGGUAAUAGUUUAUAUAAAAAUAUAUAAUUUGCAAAAUUAUAGAUGAACAAAGUUCUUACCUUU